rnacentral:rRNA from 1 species
CUGCCGGCGACCGGCGCACGGGUGAGUAACACGUAUGGAACCUGCCCGCAGCAGGGGGAUAAGCGGAAGAAAUUCCGUCUAAUACCGCGUAACAACGUUGGGAGGCAUCUCCCGAUGUUUAAAGAUUUAUCGGCUGCGGAUGGCCAUGCGGCGCAUUAGCUAGUCGGCGGGGUAACGGCCCACCGAGGCGACGAUGCGUAGGGGUUCUGAGAGGAAGGUCCCCCACACUGGUACUGAGACACGGACCAGACUCCUACGGGAGGCAGCAG